AUGGUUAAGUGACUAAGCGUACACGGUGGAUGCCUUGGCAGUUGGAGGCGAUGAAGGACGUAUUAACUUGCGAUAAGCCUAGUCAAGCUAGUAAAAAGCACUUGAGACUAGGAUUUCCGAAUGGGGAAACCCACCUGCUUGCAGGUAUCGUUAACUGAAUACAUAGGUUAACGAGGCGAACGCGGAGAACUGAAACAUCUAAGUACCCGUAGGAAAAGAAAUCAACCGAGAUUCCGAAAGUAGCGGCGAGCGAAAUCGGAACAGCCCUUAAGCUUAUUAUGUGUUA
rnacentral:rRNA from 1 species